GUACUGUGCAAACGUUAUUCGGAAUCACUGGGCUUAAAGGGUGCGUAGGCGGUCGACUAAGUAGGGUGUGAAAUGCCUCGGCUCAACCGAGGCACUGCGCUCUAAACUGGUCGACUUGAGUGAGAUAGGGGUGUGUGGAACUUCCAGUGGAGCGGUGAAAUGUGUUGAUAUUGGAAGGAACGCCGGUGGCGAAAGCGGCACACUGGGUCUCAACUGACGCUGAGGCACGAAAGCCAGGGUAGCGAACGGGGGAUUAGAUACCCCGGUAGCCCUGGCCGUAAACGAUGAGCACUAGUUGGGAGGGGCUUAACGCCCCAUUCGAACGCAGCGAAAGCAUUAAGUGCUCCGCCUGGGGAGUAUGGUCGCAAGGCUG
rnacentral:rRNA from 1 species